rnacentral:rRNA from 1 species
CAAUACGGGGUCCUUUGGGUCUCGUAAUUGGAAUGAGUACAAUUUAAAUCUCUUAACGAGGAACAAUUGGAGGGCAAGUCUGGUGCCAGCAGCCGCGGUAAUUCCAGCUCCAAUAGCGUAUAUUAAAGUUGUUGCAGUUAAAAAGCUCGUAGUUGAAUUUCGGGGUCGGUAGGUUGGUCAUGCCAUCGGUAUGCACUGGUCUCACCGAUUCCUCCCUCUUGUAGAAGCGUAAUGCCAUUAAUUUGGUGUUGCGGGGAAACAGGACUGUUACUUUGAAAAAAUUAGAGUGUUUAAAGCAGGCUAACGCCUGAAUACAUUAGCAUGGAAUAAUGAAAUAGGACGUCGAUCCUAUUUUGUUGGUUUCUAGGGUUGACGUAAUGAUUAAUAGGGAUAGUUGGGGGCAUUAGUAUUCAAUUGUCAGAGGUGAAAUUCUUGGAUUUAUUGAAGACUAACUACUGCGAAAGCAUUUGCCAAGGAUGUUUUCAUUAAUCAAGAACGAAAGUUAGGNGAUCGAAGACGAUCAGAUACCGUCGUAGUCCUUAACCAUAAACUAUGCCGACUAGGGAUCGGAAUGAAUGUUAAU